GGGUUAUUGGUCUAGAGGUAUGAUUCCUGCUUUGGGUUAUUCCGGGACGCCAUGUGGCAUCCUUCAUGCAGGAGGUCGUCGGUUCAAUCCCGGCAUAACCCC